rnacentral:rRNA from 1 species
AGGCUCUCGCAUCGAUGAAGAACGUAGCGAAAUGCGAUACUUGGUGUGAAUUGCAGAAUCCCGCGAAUCAUCGAGUUUUUGAACGCAAGUUGCGCCCGAAGCCAUUCGGUCGAGGGCACGUCUGCUUGGGUGUCACG